rnacentral:rRNA from 1 species
AUGGGUUCGCUGCUGAUACCGUUGGUGAGCAGCGUCGCCGCCAAGGUCGGCGACACGCUGGUGCGCGAGCUUCUGCGCGCGUGGGGCCUGGACAAGGCCCGUCCGAAGCUGGAGCGGCACCUCGCGGCCAUCCAGUACAUCCUGCUGGACGCCGACGCCAAGAGCCGCACCAACCCCGCCGUCUGCCGGUGGGUCAAGGACCUCAAGACUGCCGUCUACCACGCCGACGGCAUCCUCGACGACUUCCGCUACGAGGCGCUCCGCCGCCGUGCCGCUCAGAUCCGUCCCCACUCCACCGCACGCAAGGUGCUGAACUACUACACCUUCAAUAGUCCGGUUGUUUUCCACGUCUCCAUGGGCAAAAGGAUUAAGGAUUCCCGUGAAAUGAUAGAUGAAUUGGUUGUGGAGAUGAAUAAUUUCCACUUCCUACAACAUGCUGAGGUGCCAACCCUUGUUCAUCCGCAAACACACUCUCAUGUCGAUGAAUUGAAAAUUGUCGGUAGACAAGAUGAGAAGGAACAGGUGGUGAAGAUAUUGCUUGGCCACGCCCACAAUGAUGGAAAUAAUAAUAAUGUGAUGGUGCUACCAAUAGUUGGUAUGGGGGGGAAUUGGUAA